GUACUCUCCACCCCUCUUCUUCUAUUGCUCAGGUUGAAGCAGAAUUUGCCCGUCUUACAUCUGUUGACCUGAAAGGGUUCCUUUUGCUGUGCUUGACCAUUAUGGAGAGGUUCGUGGAGCUGUAGAAAAUCAAGAGCGGCAUAGGAGGGCUAACUAGGCUCAUAAGAUGCUUCGGUGAUGAUAGCCCUACACAAAGGAAGAGGACAGAGGACCUCACCUUCCUUUUCUAAAGGAAGAUCCCUCACACACUUUCAAGACUGUGAAGCCGACAGGUAUUGAAGACACGUUUUCUAAGAGGAUGAAAGUUGGCAUUGCGAUGGUGAAAGAAGAAGACAUCAUCGAUGUGUUGGUUGUCCUUGAGGCGGCAGUAAUCCUGUCUAAUCUGAGGGAUGUCUCAAGUGCCAUUUCCAUGCUGAUGGGCCUUCUUUUUGCCCUCAACAUAGACUAUCCAAAGGAACUUAAGGACAUCUUUGAAGUCAUUCAGAACAUCCUAAUGAACAUUGGUGGAAGGCAGUGCAUCUCACUAGUGCAUGGUGUGGAAUUACAGGGAUUAUUUUACAUAACCAUCAUCUUAUCAUUGCAUUAAUUAUCAUUUCAUCAAAGUGUUUAUUGAAGCUGCUGGCAUUAUGGUAUAAUUUAUAUUAUAGGGGUUAUCAUAAUCAAAUAUUAACAUGUUUAUUACAGGUGCAGUUAUAACUACUUUAAAAUGAUUGAGUUAAAUAUAUAUAUAUCAUAACUCAUAUGCUGAGUAUAUUGGUAUAGUAAAAUAGUAGCUGAGCAAAGGCCUGAAUGUAUUCAGCUUCUUGUGGUAUUUGAGUUUGCUUAGUUACAG
ensembl:lncRNA